CAGCUGUGUUCCUUCAGCUAACCCCAAGGAGAAAGAAUUUGCCCUUUCCCUGCCAACCUACGGACCAGGUCAGUGUGUCCCAUCACUUGGGCCGUCACUUUGUCCUAAAAUACCAAGGUCCAUUGCUAAGCAAGCUUCCAAAUCCAAAUUUCAGCCUAAUGUAAUUUGAAAAAGUCAGACACCAAACUGCAAUCAUGGAACUCACUUCUGCCAGCCGUAUUCACAUUGUUUUCAACAGGUCUACUCACAGAGAGUUUGGUACUAGUUUAUGUAAAUGUAAGGGUGGUAGAAUAAAAACCUUGUCUGAGCUAUGGUGAAGCUGUAGGCACUGCUUUAAGACAUAUCUUUCUGGGGUUGUUUAUCCUUGUGUGUUUUAAAGUCAUCGUCGCAGAAUAUCAGUACUUAUCCAAGGUGAAGUGCCAACAUCAUAUUGACAUUCAACAGGGUUUCCUUGCUUAGUUCUCAGAAGUCUGAAUGAACUUCAGUAAAAAUUAUUCCCCACCAGAGGGUUGAAUUCACGUACAGGACUUGUGUCGAGGAUUUUGUCUGUGAAGCUUCUGUGAUCUUCCAACUGCGGAGUUGUUUUCUAAUUUAGGAGAGGAGCCCAAAUCUUUUUCCUGAUUUAUCAUGGAUAACACAAAAUUGCAGGUUAAAGCUUAGAUAGAUGGGCUAGGCGGAUUAGGUAGAUGGACAAGAACAUUAGGUCUUCUGUUGCCAACAUCUGUGAUUAUAUAAAGGAACCGAUUAGUCUAAUGGUUAGAGCAGGAAGCCUGACUCAACAAAGCUAUUCUCUGUUCUUCCAUUGAUUUCGUCUAUGACCUUAAGCAAAAUGUAAAAUUCAAGUCAUGUUUACUGUUCCAUGGGUCUGAGACCCUCAGACAAAAAGUGUCACAUGGGUACAAAGUGUUAUUAAUGAUUAUUAUUACUGAUUGAUUUGUAUUGUACAGCAUGUCUGCCAGCAUUCUCCUAACAAGCACUGGCAGGCUUUAGGUACUGAUGGUUUCUUGCUACUAGAAAACCUCCCCUGUGGAUGGGUUCUGGGGAUCAGCCAGCUGAUAUCGCUUCGUACUCCUUUUACUUUAAAUGAUGCCCCAUGUGUCCAGACAUGUGCAAGCGGGCCUCAUACCAUCCCUCCACUGGACAUGCAUUGCCUCAAGCUGUCUGUGUCCUGCAGACAGCUACUAGCCUUGGUCUUUCAGCACUGUAGGAAAACGAAGGGGGAGGAGAAAAGCCACGAUGCCAUUGGUACUUGGUAUCGAGGAGCUUAGUUGUUUUCUGAGCUUGGCAGCCAAUGCUGACACCAUACUGCUCAGGAAGUCUUUCUUUGGGUACAUCUAUGCUAGUAACUGUACAUGUGUCCAACCCCCAUAUUGUCCACUUCUAAACCCAGAAACAGAUGGCUGAAAGUGACUAGGAGGUGAGCAAGCAAGCACACCCCAGGGGUGUGGGUAAGUACAUGCCUCAGGCUGGGGCACAACUCUGUACCCAUGCCGGUUUGCAGCGUGGAUGGGGGUAAGAGGCAUGUACCAGGUCUCAAGUUUCAAUAGUCCUCCACCCUCAGUCCCAUAACGUAGUGAAUCCUUUUCUUCCAGACCCUUCCCCAGUCUACAUAGGUCCCUGUCCCCCUGUCUUCAUUAGCGGUAGCGAGCUGUAUUGACCACAUCAGAACAGCUUUCCACUGCAUUCUUUUGAUCAAUACAGCUGGUAAUCAUGGCUCCUGCUCCAAGAGCAGCUGCCUGGCCUGCCAACUACACCCAGCUGCUGACCAAUGUGUGUUCAGCACAUACCAUCCUCCAUGACUUCUUCUGGAGUGGCAGGAACAUUUACCUCUACUAGGAAAUUUCCUGGAGGCUGGACUGGAUGGACAUUAAGUAGACUCCAGCUCCAUGCCAGGAACGUCUAAAGCACUUAAGGCUCCUCUACAGGAGUACAAAAGACUUGAACAGUCGCUCUGGGAGAGCUUGUCGUACAUGCCCCCUUCUACAAUGGGCUGGACCGGGUGCUGUCAUGGGCUCCCAGUACAGAGCCUGAAGUGGCUCAUGACCCCCUCCUCAAGCCAGCCUGCCUCAUUGUUCGACAGGAUGUUGUGGAAGGCCAGAGCAAGAAGGAAGUCCCAGAAGAUGGAGAGCAUGUAAUUUUGCACCUCUACCUGAAGGAACUGGUUGAGGAGGACGCCAAGCCACUGCAGGAAGCAGACCUCAAGGCUGGAUCUUUGGCUCCAGAGAGCGAAACCAUUCUCCCAGGAGGGCAGAAGCCGCACCCCAGGGACAGCAGAGACAGCCUGAGAAGGACUCUGGGAGAGCUGCUCAUAGGGAUGGACAGGAGGAACCAGGAGCAGUUUGAAUUCCUCAGGGCCAGGGAGAAGCGGGUGCUUCAGCAGGAGGAGACAUUGGUGAACUGGUUCACGGAGCAGGAGGCAUGCCAUAGGGAACAGGAGCAUUCCCAAAUAUAGGGGCUUAUUGAACUGGUGGCCAAAUGAGAUUGGGGUCCACCUGCUGCCAUGACCACUGUACCUGUCCAUGAAUCUCCAUCUCUUCCUCCUUCAGCUUCUGCCCAUGGUGCUGCUGAGUCAGAGGGGUCAACCCUCUCCCCCACCCCCCCACCAAACAAGAAGGAAAACAAAGAGCUCAGUUCCACUGGGACCUUACCUUCCACUGGCACCCAAAACCCCGCGCCGGGGGACUGCCCUGCACAUCCAUGACAAGAACAAUGAGCCUGUGGUAGCCCCUGAACCCCACCAAGUGCCUGCUUCCCUGAACCCCAUGCAAAAGAUGUCCCUGGUUGUUCCCAAGAACAGUUUUUCCUUGUCAUUCUCCCCCUUGCCAGGUGGAGGGCAAGGGGACUGAUGCAGAGACAUUAAUAUUCGCCCACUGUUCAGUCCCAUUACGUUUUAAAUAUUGUUGGUUUGCAUUUCUUUUCUACAAUAUUGUAAUUACACAUUCCAUCGAGUACUUUUUAUACUUCGUUAUAGUUUCCUUGACUUUGAACCCUCCUUCCUAAUGACGAUGAACACAUGUUUUCAGGUUCAGGAUUGGGGCCCGCGAUUCACAGCACAUGGAAUGAAAUGGCGUAACUGUCUGGUGCCAGCAUACUGCAAACACUUAUUUUUCUGUUUCACCACCAGGUUCAGAAAUACCAGGAGUCCCAAGGAUACACGGGAGGGAUGGGCAAAG